GGACACAGAGACAUACAUAGAGGGAAGACGAUAUGAAGAGAUGGAGAAGAUGCCGCUCUACAAGGCAAGGAGGGAGGGCUGGAGCAGUCUCUCUCUCUCGCAGCCCUCAGAAGGAACUAACCCUGCUGACAUCUUGGUUUCAGACUCCUAGUCUCCAGAACUGAUAAGAAUAAAAUUUUUGACCUGGACUGUGUGUUGGUCAGGUUCCCGGUGGGAAAACAUGGUGCGCUCCACGUGAGCGAUUUGAGCCAAGGUGCAGAAGAGAAGGCAGGAGCUGAAGCAGCGAGCUUGGACCGUUGAGGCCAACUGGGUAACGCUCAGCAGAGAACCUGGUAGAAGGAGUCUGCCUCAAACACCCGUAGAGCAUCGUACCUGCCUUGAGCCACCUGCCUAAGAUUUGACCUGAGAGAGAAGUGACCCUCCACCUGCUGAAGCCACUGUCCGGGGCAUCUGCUCUCACUUGCAGCUGAACCUCACCCUCGUGACUACAUGAUGACGCUUCCACUUGAAAUAUACAUACUUUUUUUUUGGUGAGGAAGAUUGGCCCUGAGCUAACAUCUGUGCCAAUCUUCCUCUACUUCAUAUGUGGGAUGCCCCAACAGCAUGGCUGAUGAGUAGAGUCGGUCUAAACUCAGGAUUGGAAACUGUGAACCCAGGCCGCCAAAGCGGAGUGCACAGAACUUUAACCACUUGGCCACGGGGCCGGCCCGGCUGCUUUUUUUUAUUGCUAAGGACAGGGUGAUGCACUGGUUAUCAAAAUAAUUUGGUUAUAGGUAACAAAAACAGGGAAGUAUUCAGGUCUUAAUUUUCCUUCAGAAGACUCCCGUGUACACAUCAAAAUAUUAAAUAAACUUUUAUGCUUUUCUCCUGUUAA
rnacentral:lncRNA from 1 species